CUUGGGUUAAAACUUUUUUAUUUUUAUCAAUUAAGUUUUCUGUUUUUUUUUUAAACUCUAAUUUUACUGUCCUUUAUUCACUGCACACCUUUACACCCCACCCUCACAUUUCUCUCACUUUUUCCAUUUCCGGUGCACAGCUGUACACCUCCACCCCUACAUCUCCUCACUUUUCCCAUUUCCGUUUCUCCCUUCUUCUUCCUUCCCUUUCCUUUUUCAUUUUCGUUUUGAUCUUCCUCUUUCCCAUUUCUUUUUUCUUUUUCAUUGCUUCCAUUGGCGGUAGAUUUGAGGUGUGGAGGAGCAUUGAGGAGCAGCGUUGAAGAGCGUUGAGUAGAGCAGAGUUGCUUCGGGGUUGGUUUCGUCUCCAUCGAGAACCCGCGAAAGGCCAAAGCGGAUGUGGGAUAUCUGUUUUCCCUUAGACAAAUGUUGAUAUCCGUUGAAGGAUUUUAUAUUCUUCUUUCGCUGGUGCAGCACCACCACCACCUAACCUCUUCUUCCACCAGCACCACUACCACCGGACCACCUUCUACCACCACUUUUAGGAAGCUGCUACCUCCAAACAAGGAGAGAAGCACGAGCAAGAAAAAGAAGCACGAACACGCAAUGAAGUGAAGGAGAAAUAGCACAGUGAGUGAGUGAAGAAGGAGAAGCAAAUGUAAUUUCCGUUUGAGGGGGUGCAUAUCAAUUUAGAGCAAAAAGCAAAUUUUUUAACCACCGAUGUUUAACUAUAUGACAAGGGUUAAAUAUAAGGGUAAAUAAGGAAUGUGGUGGUAUAAGAAGAAGAGUGUGGUGGUGUAGGGAGAAGCUCUCAUUCGAGAAAGGCUCAUUUUCGAUUAAAGCACUCUUAAGCUAGGGUUUGAGCGAGAACGAGUGAUGCAGAGAAGAGUUUCAAUGGCUCGUACCACUAUCCAGAGGAGCGUGAAGAGCAACUAGAGGCACGUGCAUAGAUCUUGAAUCGGCAAAGAGCUUGAGGAUGAUCGGAGGAUUGAAGAGCGAGAUGAAAGAGGGACCAUUGGAUGGAGAAGAAAGCAGUCGAAGGGUGGUAUUUGGUUUGAAGAUAGAACAUGAAGCGCAAGCGUGGGCAUAAGAAAGGAAAGUGAAAAGGUACCACUAACUAUGGAAUGAGUGCUAACGAUAACCUAAGUAAUGGUGGGGUCAAAACAAGGAAGAAACCUCUGGUUUGGAUGAGUUUGGUUAUGAUAAAGAUAACUCUGGAAUGGAAGAUGACACGCCUUCUUCCACUGGGACGGAUCAGCAUUUCAAUCUUGCUAACAUAAAUCCUGAUGGUUCCAUUGAUAAGGCUAUUGGGAAAUCGGUUGGGCGUGUUAAGGUGAAGCUUAGGACACCUAAAAUGUUGGACUCCCAACCCACCUCAUCUGAUGCUCCCACACAGAGCGAUACUGAUAAGAGUAGCCAGCAGCAUGGCCUUGAAAAACAAGGUUUGAGUGCCGAGAGGAUGGAGGAUAGUGCAAACUCGUUGCCUGAUAUGAAACUGAGUAAUCUGUCAAAGAGAGCUGGUAGCAUAAAAAUCAAGUCUUCAAAGGUUUUGGGAUCAAAUGCGGAGCACACAAGCAAACCAUUGUCAGCUUCCACUGAGGUCAUCCACCCAAAAGAAAGAAAGGCCACUCAACAUAAUCCCUAUAUAAUAAGCAGGAAUUGGAUGCUUCCUUAGUGAUUAUAAGGAAGGUAAUGAAGAUGGAUGCAGCUGAGCCCUUCAAUGUUCCUGUCAAUCCCGAAGCUCUGGGAAUUCCUAUUCAUUUGGAUUCAUAGCAGGAGGUGGUAGAAAAAAGACAAAAAGGGAAGGAGCUAUAGAGAAAGGAAAGCAGAAAGGAAACAGAAGAUAGAGGAAAGGGGAAGAAAAGGAAUCUAGAAGAGAAGAGUCUGAACAGAAAGGGGAGGAUUAAAGGGAGCUUCAAGAGAACACCCAGGUGAAGGACGAAAGCAGCAAACAAGGUUACAUAGCAAAGAGGGAAAAGAAAUCAAGAGAAGUUCGUAGGAGCAGUGAACUACAGCUUGUAAAAAACUUAGAUCUCAUCUUUUAUUUGCUUCAUUCAUCUUCUCCUUCAAUAUAACACAAACCAACACCUACAUAUUAUCACAAUUUUAUUUUUAAAUAAAGCAAAGAAAGAAGAGAAGAGAAAAAUCAGUUUGAGAGUCAAUCAUCAGAAAUUUAAAAUAAUUAGUGCUUUUGAAGAACAAAUUUGUUCUCAGUGAAAUAACUGCCAAUGCUCUUUGUCUCCGACGAAGUACCGGCGGUGCUGCAAGGAAGACCCCAAGUAAAGUUAGUGAGAAGAGGUGGACACUGGCAAGCACUCUGGUGAUGACAUAGUUGCUGAUGGCUCUGAUCAAGGAGGAGUAUUUAUGAAGAAGAUGAAUUAAUGACCAAAUGGGAGAAAGAUUUUGGAAUGGAGAGGUUCCAAAAACUAGGUUUUGGGAGGAAACCUUUCAAAGAAAGAAAUUUCAAGUUUCAUUAAUUUUAUAUAUUACAGCUCCUGGCAGAGGUCUAUUGAUGUUUGGUCUUUUGUUGUUUCUUUCAGAAUUCGGAUUCUGUUGGACAACCCAAAAUGGGCAUAUAUGAGAGGCUUCACAGAAGCAAAACAGAAAAUCAGGAGGAAAACUGCCUCAUGGUUAAGAGAGUCUGUAUUGCAGCUUGGUCCAACUUUCAUUAAACUUGGUCAGUUGUCAUCAACAAGGUCUGACAGAACAUACAACAAACUUUGACAACAUAGUCUGACAGAACCAUGCAGAGGAGGGCAUGUUUGAUUGUUACAAGCAAAAAUAUGUGCGGCCAGAAGUACAAGAUAACUUUGGCCACAUCCGUUUUACCUUCAAUGUUGACAUCCGUUUAAGGUAACUUCUUUUUUUUAGGAUUUAUAAUGCACCUGGAUGACUACACUGCACCUUACCAUUGCACCUUCAAGCACCACCACCACCAAGACUGGUUUUGUCUGGCACCGCUGGAUCAGUUGCUUGCACCACCACCAACCUUUGCAAUCUUCCACUUAGCACACUAUGAAAUGAAACUCCGUGAAAAAUCAGUCUUGUCUUUGGAUGCACCUCUAAACAUACCAAAAUUGGUCUUUAGGAUGCAUGGAUGAGGUGGUGGAGAUCUUAAGAGGAAUCAAGAGUGAUGGGCUUGGUGCUCGGGAAGAGACAGAAAUAUUGGAUAUAAGGAGUGAUGAAGUUAUACUUUUGAAGAAGCCUCAUUCUCCUGUUUCACCAAAUUCAGUUGUUGACAAUUGGGAUAACCCCUCCUCUGUAUCUAAUUCCUUUUAGUUUCUAAGUUUUAAUUUUUCCCUUGGUGAAGAUCUAGUUAGAUUAUGAAACUUGUGUACUGUAUGAAAUGUCAAUGAGCUAGUUUAGAAGUCAUACCCUUUA